rnacentral:rRNA from 1 species
UCAAGUUUGAAAGGCGGCGCAAGCUGUCACUUUAGGAUGAGCCCGCGGCGCAUUAGCUAGUUGGUGGGGUAAAGGCCUACCAAGGCAAUGAUGCGUAGCCGAGUUGAGAGACUGAUCGGCCACAUUGGGACUGAGACACGGCCCAAACUCCUACGGGAGGCAGCAGUAGGGAAUCUUCCACAAUGGACGAAAGUCUGAUGGAGCAACGCCGCGUGAGUGAAGAAGGUUUUCGGAUCGUAAAGCUCUGUUGUUGGUGAAGAAGGAUAGAGGCAGUAACUGGUCUUUAUUUGACGGUAAUCAACCAGAAAGUCACGGCUAACUACGUGCCAGCAGCCGCGGUAAUACGUAGGUGGCAAGCGUUGUCCGGAUUUAUUGGGCGUAAAGCGAGCG